rnacentral:rRNA from 1 species
AUAUGCUUACAACAUAGCGUUAAUGCACCGGAUCCCAUUACAACUUUGUAGUUAAGCAUGCUUAGGCCAGAUUAGUACUUGGAUGGGUGACUGCCCAAGAAGUCCUAGUAUUUUACAUGCC